rnacentral:rRNA from 1 species
AACGAACGUUAGCGGCGCGCUUAACACAUGCAAGUCGCACGAGAAAGGGCUUCGGCCCCGGUAAAGUGGCGCACGGGUGAGUAACACGUGGAUAACCUACCCUUGAGCAGGGGAUAACAUCCCGAAAGGGGUGCUAAUACCGCAUAAGACCACGGCUCCGAAAGGAGCUGAGGUAAAAGCUGGCCUCCAUAUAUAAGCUAGCACUUGAGGACGGGUCCGCGGCGCAUCAGGUAGUUGGCGGGGUAAUGGCCCACCAAGCCUUAGACGCGUAGCUGGUCUGAGAGGAUGAUCAGCCACACUGGAACUGAGACACGGUCCAGACUCCUACGGGAGGCAGCAGUGGGGAAUCUUGCGCAAUGGACGAAAGUCUGACGCAGCGACGCCGCGUGUGUGAUGAAGGCCU